GAUGAACGCUGGCGGCGUGCCUAACACAUGCAAGUCGAGCGAACAGACCAGGAGCUUGCGCCUCUGACGUUAGCGGCGGACGGGAGAGUAACACGUGUAUAACCUACCUAUAAGACUGGGAUAAUUACGGGAAACCGGAUCUAAUACCGGAUAAUAUAUUGAACCGCAUGGGGCAAUAGUGAAAGUCGGUUGUUCGGUCAGUAAUAGAUGGAUCCGCGCCGGAUUAGCUAGUUGGGAAGGUAAAGGCUUAGCAAGGCUACGAGGCGUAGCCGACCUCAGAGGGGGGUCGCCCACACGGGAAGAGAGACACGGUCCAGACUCCGGAGGGAGGACGCAGUAGGGAAUCUUACGCAAUGGGCGAGAGGGUGACAGAGCAACGGCGCGUGAGUGAUGAAGGUCUUAGGCUCGGAAAGCUCUGUUAUUAGGGAAGAACAAAUGUGUAUGUAACCGUGCAGGUAUUGACGGUACCUAAUGAAAAAGCCCCGGCUAACUACGUG
rnacentral:rRNA from 1 species